GAUGAAGAACGUAGCGAAAUGCGAUAAGUAAUGUGAAUUGCAGAAUUCAGUGACUCAUCGAAUCUUUGAACGCACAUUGCGCCCGCCAGUAUUCUGGCGGGCAUGCCUGUUCGAGCGUCAUUUCAACCAUCAAGCCCCCGGCGUGUGUUGGGGACCUGCGGCUGCCGCAGGCCCUGAAAAGCAGUGGCGGGCUCGCUGUCACACCGAGCGUAGUAGCAUACAUCUCGCUCUGGGCGUGCUGCGGGUUCCGGCCGUUAAACCGCCUUCAUAACCCAAGGUUGACCUCGGAUCAGGUAGGAAGACCCGCUGAACUUAAGCAUAUCAAUAAGCGGAGGA
rnacentral:misc_RNA from 1 species